UUUUAUAUGAGAGUUUGAUCCUGGCUCAGGAUGAACGCCGGCGGUGUGCCUAAUACAUGCAAGUCGAACGCGUUGGCCCAGCUGAUUG
rnacentral:rRNA from 1 species